GCUUGUGAGGGCUGCAAGGAUUGUUGUCCGUCUGAUCCUCUCUUCCCUUCACAGAGGUCCCUACGAGAGACUCUGACUAUGUAAAGUAGGCAGGUGUUCAGGCUUUAUUAUAGCCGUCAAAACACCUCCUUGCUGCUUUCCAAUAUUGUUCCCAACCACGAUGCUUCAAAUAUCGCCUCGUACUUCCUCAAGUCAUGUUCAAUCCAAAUUCAGGGACUGGGUCAUUCGCUUCAACCGGAUCUUACAAGGAUUCUCAGAAUCUGAAGUAACUUGCCAUGAAUCUGCCGCUGGUUUAACCCUAGAAUGAUGAAUCCAAGGAGUCAACUCUGCCACCUUUACAGCUGUUGGGGUAGACAAAAGAACAGUAUAAGGACCUCUCCAGUAUUCCAU